rnacentral:rRNA from 1 species
UACGUAGGGUGCAAGCGUUGUCCGGAAUUAUUGGGCGUAAAGAGCUCGUAGGUGGCCUGUCGCGUCGGCUGUGAAAACUCGGGGCUCAACUCCGAGCUUGCAGUCGAUACGGGCAGGCUAGAGUUCGGUAGGGGAGACUGGAAUUCCUGGUGUAGCGGUGAAAUGCGCAGAUAUCAGGAGGAACACCGAUGGCGAAGGCAGGUCUCUGGGCCGAUACUGACGUGAGGAGCGAAAGCGUGGGGAGCGAACAGG